rnacentral:lncRNA from 1 species
GUUUUCAAGCUGGAAAAAUGAGUGGGGAUAGUGCUCUAUUUAUAGGGGAAGCAAAGGGGUUGAAGGGGGUGAACCAAAAGGUUCUUUGUGUAAAAAACAGAGCCAUUUUUGCUGCCUGCGCAGGUGUAAUCGGUUACACAGUCCCAAAAUGGCCAAAAAAUAAGUUUUUGGUCUGGGUAAUCGGUUACCCUGAUUAGGGUAACCGGUUACCCAAUUUUUUUUUGAAAU